rnacentral:misc_RNA from 1 species
ACUAAAAACGGCUAACGAAAACAAACACAGCAAGAACAACAACAAAAAAAAAACGCCAUUCCGGGCUGCCCGGCACUUGCUGUCUCCACUAUCCCUACAGCAGACUUAUACUUCACAGCCCGCACUGACUCCCCCUCCUACACACAAGCUGAAGCAGCGCUUUUUCCUUUUGGCAGCUGCUGCUUCAUUGCUCCCCUCUUUGUGGGCGUCCUGUUUACUUUUCUCAAACAACAUACCGUUGUUUUGUUUCGUCUUCCUCUUUCGGGUUUCUUCUACCUUGGUCUUUUCUUUGCUACCUCUCACUCACCUCUCUCGCGUGCUCAUCGUGUUCCCCGCAACUCCGCAAGAGCCCGACCAUCACAGAGAUACACGCGCUUUAGCUUCUACGUUCUCAGCAUCGCGCCCCCCCAAAAAAGGCGUUGUGUGUGUGCUGUGUCUAGUGUUUGCUUUCACCGCUGCUCAUCUUCUUUGCCGUCAUUCCCCUGUUCUGGGACGCCGUGUCUUGAUGUGGCUGCAUCAUCUUUUUUCCCUCCUUUUCCCUCUCACUUUGUCGCUUUCUCCCAUCAGUGCAAAGGGGCGGAGUUGUUGCUUUUCAUUUCCUUUGGAGUGACGUGGAUCGGGAAAGGCCGAGGCUUGGCGUUGCGUGUCGACUUCUCUUGUCCUUUAUGUUUGCGGUUCGGGGUUCUACGCUUCUCCACUCCAGCUACCUUCAUCAGGAGUCGAGCUGGCGCACAACUCUUUCUCACUCGACUGGUCGAGAGACGACCCUCCCACACACGCGUCUCUGAGCACAACAACUCCCUCCUGUGCCGAUUGAAACCGAUGACGUCGACCAGCCCUCCUGCGGUGGACUUCUCGUGCGCUAUCUGCUUCGACACCGCCACAGAGCCGGUCGUCACCCGCUGCGGCCACCUCUUCUGCUGGGAAUGCCUCGAUCACUGGCUGCACAGCGCGGCUGGCGCGCCAGAGUGCCCGGUUUGCAAAGGCCGUGUCGAUGAGCGGAUGGCUGGUGACAUCAUUCCCUUGUACGGCAAGGGCCGACAGCCGGCGGCAAAGGCGGGCAGUGGUCAAGGCACCGUCUCAGCACCAGCAACGACAACGGCGGCCGCGACAGCCGCCACAGAGAGUGCUGCAACCGUUUCCGACCCGGCGCAGGAGGCGUUUUUCAGCCGCCCUAGCGCUUACAGCUUUGCCCCUGCUCGCGACGCACGACGUUCGGGCCAGGCAUCCUCGCAACAGCAGCAGCCGGAGCAACAGCAGCAUCACCCGCGCCCAAAUGCCAAUCGUGCGCCGCCUCGUCCUCGUCCCCAGCAGCGUCACCAGUUCCAGAAUGUCCACAUAAAUCGCGGUGGCAUGCCGCUGACCAUGGGCAGUGGCAUCUUUUUCUUCGGUGGCGGCACAGGGGUGCUUUUCUCCAUCAUUGUUGUGGCGAUCUGGACCCUGUACCACUACGCGCCGUGGCGUGAGUGGGUGCAGGCGUCGGCGCGCUGGUACAACCGCCUGCGCGGUCACCCGGAGCCGGCAAAUACGAGUCAGGCAGAGCACGAGGCGCCAACGGACAGGCCGACCCAGGCACGGACGCCACCAGCCGCCACGCAUCUAGCCUCCGCAGCUUCCUCGAUGGAAAACCCUACCGACGAUGUUUCGCCACCAACCAUCGUGCGCCACUUGAUCAUUAGCCUCUUUCUCGUCUUCAUUUUGAUCCAGCUUUUGGCGUACGUGUAGACACUGUUCUGUGUGUUUUGGCAUGCGUGCGUCUCUCUUCCUGACCUCAUUUCUUCCUUCUUCGCCCUCCCUCUUUUUUGUCCUCACGACGGGCGAAAAACACACGAAACGAAAAGCGCGCCACGUGCGCUGCUGAAGGAACAUAAAACACGAAGGCAAAUAAGCGGGUGCUCUCUGUCGUUGGCGGUUCGGGACAAAAGGAGAUGAGGGAUAGAGGAAGAGGAGGGCAGAUGCCGCAUAAAGCGGCACCACUGAGCUGGAUAAUCGAAAAUGCGGGUUGCCCCAAAGACGGGUGAGAGUAGACAAGCAGCAAAGCGUGAGCCUCUGCUUUACCUCUAAUGUCUGUUUUGGUAGGGCCACGGCGUGCGUGUGCAUGUCUGGGUUCUUCGUGAGGAAGUCACUGACUGGCCGCCGACGUAUUCCUCUCUCAUGCGUUCGCCCUUUUGAAUAGUCCGUGGUGUGUAUGAGCGCUAUGCCCACACGGACACGAGGGGCUAGCGUACAUUUGCAUUCCUGUCUCUUUCUCUCUCUCUGUAUGUGUAUUCGUUUCAUAGAUCGGUUCUGCGUCUUGACACAGGCACCCCCUUCGAUGUUUCCUUCUCCCACGUCUGAUCCACCCGAGCCCACUUACCCUUUCGCUCUCUUAUCUGCCGCUGCAUGCUGGUCCUCAGCUCGUCUGUUCGUGGCUCUGGAGGUGCGGCACGACAUGUUUGAGCGCGUGCCUCACCUGCGCCGAAGAGAGAAACAGGGUGGAUGAGGAAGGUGGUGCUGGUGGUGGAUGAGGGACGGAAAGUUUGAACGAUAUGGGAGAAUCGAACGAACAAGAUAGAGGGGAAAAGAGAGGCAGAGGAUAGGAGUUUGGCGUUACCCUCGUAGUGACUCUUUCUUUUCUGUGCUGUUUUUCUGCUGCCGCAGUCGUUGCUGCCGCCGAGUGCCAUAAAAGGGAGGAGAAGGCCGACUUCGCCGUUUUUUCUUCGCGGAAUUCGGACUGACGUGUGUCUUUUCCUCCGGUCUUUCCUAUGUUUUCUUUGCUUCUUUUUUUCUUCCUCCUUCAAGCUGUUUGCCGACUCCACCGCAUGAGGCAGACACCCGACAUUGACCACGAAGGGCGCCGGCACAUCUCCUCUUUUGCUUUCGAGGCCUUGCUCAUGAUGGGUAGCGGGAGGGGUUAGGCCGCAUGGCUGAUGUGCGACUUGCUUCUUGUGCUUUCUCGUUUUGUCGUACUUCAAUGCUCUCAUUUAUUUGUACCUAUGCCUCCCUCUUUUUCACCGUAGUUGCAGCUGCAGAAGCUGCUACUUUUUUUUUUUCGUCUCCGCAGCGAACAUCCAGUCUCUGUGUGCAUGUGGGCGUGCUUGCGUUUGUGUAGUUGAGUGCACCCGACUUUGUGCAUGACGUUGUGUAACGACCCUGCCGCCUUUGCUAUUAUCCGGUCUUUGCUUCCUUCUCUCCUGCUCUCUUGCGCUGCUCUUCUUCACGCUUUCUCAUUCCGUGCAAGCGAAAGAAGAAAAAAAACGAAGACAAUGUCGGCCCCCUCCACACACACGCACACACGAUUGAGUUGAUAUUGCCUACCCUUUGCGCAAAAGACUCUCGUCAUUGUCUCUUCUGGGAUUGGCUGGCGGAGGUAUAGCUGCUGAGACGGCGGAGAGGCUAUGCUUCUGUCUGCGUGCGGAUACCGCCGCCUCGCCUUGUGCAUUGCUGUGAGCGAGUCGUCUGAUGAGGAGCUGAGCGCUGCGACGAAACUGAUGUGGCUUGGGCGCCGCCUGAGGCUCUCCCGCCUCUUUCUUCAACUGUGCCUACAUACCAACAUCAAGACGUCAUCAGUCAAACAAAGUGAAGAAACUUAGAUAAGAAGGCGCGUGCACGCUUGCAGAUAGCCGUGGCGCGUCUUGGAGGUUCUGAAGAGAGGAGGGAACAGUGCUUCGAAAUAUAUCGGACUGGCGUGCGUCUUUCUUCAUUCGUGCCUCCACCUUGCUCGAUGUGAGGCGAGCUUUCUCUAUUUGUGAGUGCGCUCAUGGGACGAGCACAUCCCGAGCGUUGGCAGGAACAUCCG